ACCGGAGCUCUGCCCUUUCCAUUUCCCUUCCCCUUCCCCCGCGAGGCAAAAAAAAAAAAAAAAAAACCAUGGAGAUUUUAAUCUCCCAUAAUUCCCUUGUUCCUUUAUCGGUUCCUCUCCUCUCUCGACCCCUAAAUCCCCUUCGUUUCAAUCCAUCCUCCCCGAGAAAUCCUACCUUUUUCUCUUUGCGUUCUUGGAAUCGUCGCCGGAGGAGGCUCAUCGCGACCUGCCGCUCCCUCUCCGCUUCGUCCGACGUAGUUUCCUCUAAUUACGGUGGCUGGGACGAUCUGGAGCUACUUGGUGGAUCCAAUAGGUCGGGCGAACUCGAUCCGCUGCGGAGCUUCUUGGUUUCUCUUGGGAUUGAUGAUCGGAAAUACGCUUUCCUCUUCGUUUUAGGGUUUCUCUCAGCUUUGGUGGUGUCCAGGGUUAGGGUUUCCUCGAUGGCGGUUUUGCCGGUCUCGGUUGUGGUUUUCGUGGUUGGGUUUUCGGCCGGAGUGGCUCAGUCAAUCAUGGCAAACGGGUCAAUUGGAAACGUUGGAAGGAAUGGAGUUGAUUUUAGGGUUUCUGAUGAGAAAAUGAUGGAUUUGGGAGCUGUUUUUGAUGAGUUGGAGGUUAAAAUGUCGGAUUUGGAAAAUGAAUUGGAAGGAGGCAUUGGUUCAAAUCAGUUAAAGAGGAGCAAGAUUAAAAGUUUUCUUGAUAAUAUCGAGCAUAUAAGAGCAACAAUUGGGCGUGGCCAGAAAACAAUGGAGGCUCUGUCUGCAGGUGAUGUUGUAGACGGGCAUAUGGCUUUUGAUCGGGAAGGAGGUAGGAAAUUGAAUCAGAAGUCGAUUCGGAAAAGAAAGGAACUGGGAUCAAUUGCUCUCGAUCUUGUCCAAUACUUUGGGAGCUUGUUUCAAGAAAACAUAAUUGGGAUGACGCCCCCAAAAGGAAAGGACCCUACCACCAUUAAGGGAGAACUCAAAGAGCAGGUGGCUUCUCCUGUGGAAGACCAUACAAUUCCAAAUGCAGUGAGAGCAUCUAAAACUAAUGAGAAAGGUUCGAAUAUAUUGCCAAGUAAAAGUCUGGACAACUGUAAAGUAGAAGGAUCUGAAGCCUUGUUCGGAAGUACUGAAGGAAAUGGGGCGGAGAAGGCUAGGAAUGUUGAGAUGGUAACUGACCAUAGUGAGGCAGUUCAGAUUGGAGAGAAACCCAGUCAUUGUAGAGAUGGUAGAUAUAAUAAUCAUUUGCUUUCAUAUGAUGAGGAGGUUAAUAAUUUGAAUGCAAGCUUGCACUUUGCAUCCAAGCAAGGAAGUUACCAGAAAAUGAUAUUCAGUCAUAAUUAUGGUCGGAUAACGCAAAAUGACAUGCAGAAUUCUGCUGAUCAUCAUACCAGUCAUAGAACAACAAAAAGCAUGGAUUUCUUCACAGAAUCAGAGACAUCGUCACUUUUAAAGCAAACCUUUGAGAUGCGUGAUAAGUUGUACUCAAAUUCUCUUGGAGGCAGUAGCAACAAGGUGAAGGUUGAGCAGACUGGUCCCCAUGGUUCUAAAGAAGCAGAUGUGAAAUUUGAAGACCAAUCUGUUCAACAAUCAGUACAUGGUGAUGGUAUGGAAGAAGGCCACACGUCGUCAUCUUCGAUGCUUUCCGGUGAUGACGAAUUUAAUCAAAAUGUGAAGGAGGCAUCAGAGCUUCUAAAACGGGCAAGGGAAUAUAUGAUGAAUCAAGCUGAUGAAGAAAGAGCAGAUGCUGUACUGUACAAAUCUGCAAGGUUGCUUUCCACAGCUGUAGCUCUAAGGCCAGUGAGCUUGCUAGCUGUAGGUCAGUUAGGAAACACUUAUCUUCUUCAUGGAGAGCUUAAGCUGAAGAUCAGUCGGGAGCUGAGAACUCUCCUAUCAAGAAGUGAUACCAUAUUGAGUGGAAAAGGACGUGGCUUCUGGUUUAAGAAAGUGGAGACUCGCAUUCUGAGCAGAGAAAAUGUUGCAACUGCCCUUACUGACGUGUGCGAAGAAUGUGAAGAACUCCUUGUCGAGGCAGGCAGAAAGUACAGAAUGGCCUUGUCUAUAGAUGGGAAUGAUGUCAGAAGCCUUUAUAAUUGGGGUCUUGCUCUAUCCUUCCGUGCUCAGUUGAUUGCAGAGAUUGGACCGUAUGUGUUUGGCGGAUAUGACAUGGGUUCCCCAUUUUCAGGAUGCAGCUUUUGAUGCUGACAAGGUGUACAUGGCAGCAAUUGAUAAGUUUGAUGCUAUGAUGUCCAGAAGUAAUGCUUAUGCACCAAAUGCUCUGUAUAGAUGGGGAAUGGCACUGCAGAACCGAUCUCAUUUGCGUCCACAUAAUAGCAAGGAGAGGAUGAAACUGCUGCAACAGGCAAAGAGUCUAUUUGAAGAUGUCCUUCGUGUGGAAUCAAAUAACAAACUGGUAAGAGAGGCUCUAUCUUCAUGUAUAUCGGAGCUCAAAUACAACAGGCAGUGGUAAUCACUGGCUUAAGGGCUCAAGGAGAUAAGGUCCAAUUCCCUCUUAUUCAUAUGAUUGCUUGCAUCUGGAACUUCCAAGAGGGUCCAGCAAUUCUUGUCCAGCCUCGUAUCGACAUUUCUGUCAUCCAUUGGUAUAUAUGGCUGCAUGACAAAAAAUGCAGCUGUUAUCAGUAUUUGGACUCUGGUACUCAAAUGCAAGUCAGAGGCCAGCAAGUUUUACAGUGCAUGUCUUCUGUGCUUCAUGCACAUCCCUUCCAGGUGGAGUCCUGAAACAGUGCCUGUUGAAGUAUGAGAAUAUUUCUGCAAACAGUGCAGCAGCUUUUUUUUUUUUUUUCUCUUAGUUUUGCCCGCAAACAGCAUGGUUGAUCUCUAGGCUCCUGUUGGAUUAUUUAAACAAGUCUCAUGUGUAGCAGAAAGAUGGAAAUUGUACUGACCAAAUGAACAAAGAAGAGAAAAGCUUCGACUCUAAAAACUAGAUUUUUUUCUGAAGCUAAAAAGAGAAAAUACUUCUUGUGAAAUUAUUAUCAUUUAAUAAACUCUGUAUUUGUUCGUCA